ACCCAUCAAGAAGAAACAGUAUUCACAAAAUCAAAAUAGGUAGACAUGUAGAAAGAAGGGGGGAAAGAAGAAUGCAGUAAAAAUAUGCAACUACAACUAUCUAAAUGCAACACACAUGACACUACACACAAAACAGAACUACACACUCACAACACAAGACAAAACACAACACACACAAACACAACAAAAGACCUAAAACCGAACCGUUGGUCCCCGGCAACGGCGCCAAAAUUUUGAUGGGUGUCGCGGCCCGUACAAAUUUGAUUGCAUAUGAGAAAUGCAAUAUAGCUAGGAAGUGAGUCCUAGGUCGUCUCUCAAGGACCAAAUGUGGUUCGAGAAUUAGGCCUAACACGAAGUGGGGAGGGAAAGUUUGUCGAAAAGUUUUGUAAAUGCGGAUGAACUAAAUCAAAACACGAAUGCAAACAGAAAUGCAAACACAGAAUCAAACACAGAAUAAAAAUGGUUGGUCAUUAACUCAAUCACUAUGCUUCCAAUCACAGAUCAAUGACAAGUACACACUACUCUAAUCCAAAUCCGACACGAAUCAACCAACUAAGCGAAGGUUGAUU
rnacentral:lncRNA from 1 species